ACUGAAAUAAGUUAAGAUGGAGGACAGCGGGUCUGUCGCAGCAGUUGUGUUAAGAAAUACAUCAGAAAUUCAGCAGUCCCCAUGCCUUGAGAUGUUUAUGUACCUCAUGCAGUACAUGUGACGUGUAUGUGGCAGUGCAAACAUUGUGUGGCAAGAGAGAGUAGUCUCCACAAUGACCCAGCCUAUGAGACUGAGGGUCAUCCUG